rnacentral:lncRNA from 10 species
CUCUAUCAUUCUACUGUAUUAUUAUUUGAGUCCUUCUCAGAAACCAUAAAAGGUAGUGGCUUUGAUUUAUAAACUAGCAGUACUCUUACCAGCUAGCAAAGUAAUGAAGAGUCCUGUGAUUCUGGGAUAUUUUCUAUUUGCAUCUAAUACAGAAUACAGAAUGUGAAUGUGCUUAGAGAAGGAUAAGAAGUGAGACAAUCAGGGUCUUGUAUUAGUUACAGGGAAAUACUCUAGCUCCAGUUCUUUAGAACUAUGCCAAGAGCUACCAAGAUUGAGUAGAAGAGAUAAAAAACAUCUGGAAUAAAUGGAAAGAUUGUCACAUCUAGUCUCUAACACAUAACCAUGAUUCUAAAAAUAAUACAUACAAAAUUCAGUCAUUCACCUUAAUAGAAUUAUCUUGUAGGCCACGGAUAAUUUUUCAUCAUCAUACUGUAAACAAUAGACACCUUUACUCUUUUCAGAGUGGCACUGAAUCCUUUGUAAGGUGUGUCAUCCACACUGCCAGUUAGAUUCUAUAGUCUCUAUAACCUGGAUAAUCUUUGGGUAUAAUGACCUAUGAAAUGAAUUGGGAGGGCCAUCUGUGGGUCUGUUUUUAAACAGGUGCUGUCCCACCCUUUUUCUGAAAGUCCCUUCCAUAGAGGAUAAGCGUGUACCAUUCGUUCAAUCAGCUUCUUCCAAAGCAUUCAUUCUGAGGUCACUUGCUGCCAUUCUUUACAUACCAGCUCUGCUGCACACAGAGACCUGGCAUCGAAAUAACUUUUUCUGCUAUGUGAUCUAAGCCUUGAUCUGGUAAGUGGUAAAGUCCUGCUGCAACAUGGGCUUUGGGUAAGAGUUAAUACACCCAUACUGAUAGUGACAAAUUUGUGAACUAAGAUGUUCCAAAUAGCCUUAGUUGGUUGGGCCUUUAAUCUGGGACCUAUUAAUCCACUCAGAGUUUUAAAAAAAUUGGUAGAACAGCCGCUGUCUUAAAUUGAUACAUUGCCUCCAGGCUAAAUUUUAGUUAUCCUUUGUCAUUCCAAACAUUUCUCAAAUUUGUCUUUCACUAUUUGAGGUUGAGAAGAAGUAGUUGCCUCUUUCAACUCUACAAGUAGGUCCUCAAAUUGGUGGACUCUUGAUUCCCUUCAUUGCUUACAAAACGGUCAAUUCUUUUUCUCAGCUCAUCUCUUUCUUGUAAUAGCUUGCCAAAUGCAGCCAAUAGCAAAUAACACACAACAUUCUGUUUUCUAGCCUUCCCCCGAGCUACAAAUGUAUUAAGUACAUGACCUGUCUUCCAAGUUACUGUAGAUAACAAUUUUAUUAAAUGUUUCACUACUGCAUAGCAUGGAUUGCUAUCUGAAUCUCUGAAAACAAUUUUAUUGCUACCUGCUGUCGCUCUUAAAUGUUUUAUAUUCUUGUUAUUGCAGCACCCCACUUUAGAUAACCAUGUCUACCUUAAGUGAGGAUGACCUGGAUUUUGCUGUAGUAACAGCCCUAAAUUCUCAGUAGU